GUUAACAUAACAAAAAAUGAUACCAAAAUAAUGUACCGUCGUGCGGGGUUACAGUCAGGUUUUUUUUUACGCGGGGGAUACGUACCGCGUAAAAAAAAACUCAGUUCAAAAUUCGAAAAACCGCGUAAAAAAAGUCUCACCAUUUCUCGACGAAUCAUGCAAAAAUAAGACGAUGAAAUUUUUUUUUGUAUGGAGUUUUCAUUUACGCGGCCGCGUAAAUGAAAACCGCGUAAAAAAGACCUGACUGUACUUUUGAAAUGCGGGGCUACUUUGGACACUUUCGAAUAUGGAUUUUUUGAGUUCGAAAUAUGGUUCAAAUCUGUUUGAUGUCUUUGGAACUAUUACGAAGCAAUAGUUUUCCCUCCAUUUGGUUGAAAUUAUUUUUCAAACAGACCGUUUAUUGCUUGGCAGGACGCGAAAAUACAUCGAAUAAAUCAAUAAAAUAUACAUAACGUAUCAGAACAUUUGGUCUGUAAGCAUUGUUUCUACAGUUCAUAAAUUUCAAAGGGUUGAUCAAUUCAUUCAAAAUAUAUCAACGUAGCAUAUACAAUCGAAUAUUUGUAUCGUUAUACAUUAUAAAUGACCAUUUCACCCAAAUAAAGGAUUGAUGGUCCUUUUUUGACGUAGGACUACGUCUCUCUUUUCUAUACCGGGUGUCAUCCUAAAUUUUCAGAAAUCGGCCGCGUUACGUUUGAAGUGGAGAUUUUGAGCGUUAAUAACUCAGCCAUUUCUCGUUGAAUUUUCAAAAUUUUGGCUCCAAUAGAUUGCAAAUCUUUACACCAAUUAUGUCCAAUAUUAACAUUUGCUGAUUUUCAAUAGCAAACUAUUGAAAAAUUGGGAAAAGUAAACCCAUGUUUAUUCCAGCCAAUCACGAUCGAGCACAUUUUGGAUGCUCCCGUCAAAUAUAAAAGCUACUGCUUCUUCGCAUCUUCCCUCAUUUGUCUUUGUCGUCUCGACGUGAACGCAUCGAACGAGAGCUGCCCACUUUCUUCGUUUGCGUUUUCGCUCUUUGACGGCCGUGUCGGCUCGGUGGCGGUGGUUUUCGGCAAGGGUGCUGUUGCACAUUCAUCUUCUAACCGUCUAACGCGGCAGACCAAGGAAGUGUUUGAACAUCGGAUUGAUCGACGGUGGUGGCAGAGGCAGCAGCAAAAUCCGGAAUCGCACCCACGGCAGCAAGCGGUGGGCCAAUUUUCGACGGCUUCCAGCAAACAGCACGGAGAAAUGCAACACGCAUUGCGUGGCAUGAUGAAUUGAUUUCAAUUUCUUCGAAAAUGCUUCCUAGAGAGUUAAUUGGAUAAAUUUCCUGCAUCGACCGAGAAAGUGUAGUGAAACCAAAUAGUGCAAGAUUGAAUUCUUGGUGGUGGUAUAGCAACAGUGAGGGCGAUCACUAAUCUCAUCCACAACAGCAAGCGGCGGGCCAAUUUUCGACGGCGUUCAGCAUUCAGCACGGAGAAAUUUAACACGCAUUGCAUGGCAUGAUUAAUUCAUGUCAAUUUUCUGUCUGAAAUCGUUCAAUAUUCAAACGGUUCUUUUCAGGACCAUAGAAAAUAAUUCCUCAAGAGUUGUGAAUCAGAUAAUUAUUUCAUUCCAUCGCUCGGUAAAAGUGUGGUGCAACCGAAAAGUGAAAAAUUGUAUGCUUGGUGGCCCCGCAACAAUAAUGAUGCCGGCCACUAAUGACUCCACCAGGAAUUUAGCAACGCUUUAUCCUAUCCAGAGCAUUUUUCGUGAAACAUUGUUUAAUUUAACCAUUUUUCGAAUUAAAAUUAUCUAAAUCUUCCAAUAUUUUGAUUACUUUAUUCGUUAAAUGAAAAUUUUCUCAUUUCUCGGUUGAUUAACCGAUUCAAGCGUCUUUUGCAUGCGGGGCGGGUCACGCAAACGAAAUAAACUGGAAAGCCAGCCGAAUGGGAGGAGCUUCAUCUGCCAAUCUAGGGACAUAAAAGCUGUUCCCUUUGAUUUCUUUCGUCAUUUUCGUUGGAUCAGUCAGGCAGGGUGGAUGUCACCUCCACAGCUUGAACAGUGGCACAUCAACCCAGCCGCAAAACUCUCGGCUAUCGUGCGGAUAGCACCAGGAAUCUCAUCCAUGGCAGAAAGCGGCGUACCAGUUUUCGGUGGCAUCCUGUAUUUAGCAAGCAGAACACCAACACGCAUUGCGUGACAUGAUGUUUUCAUGCCAUUCCGUUCCUAAAAUCGUCAAUUAAUCAAACGGUCCUUUUCAGGACCACCGAAAAUAAUUCCUCAAAAGUUGGAAAUCAGAUAAUUUCAUUCCAUCAAUCGAGAAAAGUAUGGUUCAAUCGAGAAAUGAGAGAUUGAAUUCCGGCCACUAAUCGUUCCACCCUGAAUUUAGCAACGUAUUGUCCUAUCAGAACCAUUUGUCGUGAAACAUUGGGGAGCGUCGAGAAAUUACGUCACGUUUAAAUGGGAGGGGGGUCAGCAAAGUGUGACGACCCAUAUAAAAAUUUCAGAGAUCCCAUACAAAAAGUGUGACAUAGGGAUGAGGAGGGGUUGAAAAUGACUAUUUUUUGUGUGCCGUAAUUUAAGAACGAUCCCUUGUUUAAUUCUAGCAUUUUUCGAAUUAAAAUGAUCUAAAUAUUUUUAUACUUUUUGUUACUUUAUUUGUUAAAUGAAAAUUUCUCUCAUUUCUUGGUUAAAAAUCGUUUGAAGCGUCCGAAGCAUGCGGGGCGGGUCAUGCAAUCGAAAUAAACUGGAAAGCCCACCGAAUGGGAGGAGCUUCAUCUGCUAAUCUACACGGAACCAGAAAUCAACCCAAAUAUAGGUUCUUUUCACUCAUAUCGGCUCUUCCGUGCGAGAACCCAAAUUUGGCUAUACCGCAUUAAAGCUCUGAGUGGGUAGUUUCCGUUUGAUGCCGGCAGAAAAUUGCAACCCAUCGCAAAGUUCUUUCAACCUAGCGUUAACUUUCGAAGUACCCUAGUGGGUUGAAAUAAACCCACUUUUGGGUAAACGACAAAGAACCCAAAUUUGGCUUCUCGCACGGACAUUUUCGGCUAGGUAGCUGCUUCUCGCUUUGUUUUUGACAACAAUGCGAGCGGGAGAGCGAGAAAACAACCCACUGCUGGGUAAAAAGUUCAAGCGGUAUACUUAUUUUUGCGUUCUUUUAACGUAUUUUUUAGGUAAUCUGUUUUUUCCGUGUAGGGGCAUAAAAGCUGUUCCCUCUGAUUUCUUUCGUCAUUUUCAUUGGAUCAGUCAGGGAGGUGGAGGUGGAUAUCACGUCGAAGGCUGCGCAGCAGCACGUCAACUUCGACGAGUGAUAGCACCAGGAAUCUCAUCCACUGAUCACGGCUGCGGUGGGCCCGGCAAUAGAAGUUACCUCCGCAGCUGGGUAAGCUGCGCACCAACUCAGCGACGACUCUCGACUAUCUAUCUGAUAGAACCAGGAAUCUCAUUCACGGCAGCAGGCGGCGGCAGUUUUCGAUGGCUUCCCGCAUUCAGUGCGGAUAAUUUUCCAUUGUCUUUCUAAAAUCAACCGUUAUUUGAACGGACCUUUUCAGGACCAGAGAAAAUUAUUCCUUAAGAGUUAUGAACCGGAUAAUUUUCGGAUAUAUUCCAUCGAUCGGUAAAAGUGUAGUGCAUUCGAAAAGUGAAUGGUUGAAUGCUUGGUGGCUCAGCAACAGCAAAAUCGAUUACUAAUCUUUCUACACGAAAUUUAGCAACGCAUUAUCUUAUUCGGACAAAUGUGCCUGGAACAUUGUUUCAUUCGAAUAUUUAUCGAAUUAAAAUGAUCUUAACUAUUCAAUACUUCAAUUAGUUUAUCCGUUCGAUUAAAAAUUGUCUCAAAGAACGGUUGAUUAGUCGUUUGAAGCGUCUGACACAAUGUGGGCGGGUCAUACAAACGGAAUAAACUGGAAAGCCCGCCGAAUGGGAGGAGCUUCAUCUGCUAAUCUAGGGGCAUAACAGCUGUUUCCUCUGUUAUCUUUCGUCAUUUUCCUUGGAUCAGUCAAGGAGAAGGGAGAUGUCACCUCCCAGCUUGGCUAUCGUGGUGGCAGCACCAGGAAUCUAAUCCACGACAGCAAACGGCCGCAUUCAGUAUGGGUAAAAUCACAUUGCGUGAUGAGUUCAUGCAGUUGCCUUGCCAAAAUCUUCCGUUUUAUAAACGGUCUUUUCCAGGAUCAGCGAAAAUGAUUCCUCAAGAGUCAUGAUUCGGAUAAUUAAAAGCGACAGACUGAAAGCUUGGUAGUUCAGCAAUAGUGAAGUCGGCCACUAAUAUGUUCUUCCCGGAUGAAAACAACGUAUAGUCCAUUUUACGAGCCGAUUUUAUGAAUGAAUUUUGACAGAAGGUAGCGUCCAAUAACCCGUGAAAACCAAUAUCAUCAUUAACAUUGUUGUCACUUCAUAAAAUGGCUCAUUGUCGGAAGAGUUUCACGUUAAACUUUAGUUGAAAAGAUCUAUCUAAUGCCGUUCAAUAAUCUAAUAAUUUCAUCCGCUCGAUGAAAAUUCUCUCGUAGAACAGUAAUUUGACCAUUUCUCUUCAAAACUAAAUAACUCUUGAACUAGUCAACAUCUUUCCAAGUAACCGAGCCAGCUGAACUUCUUGAGUUAAAGUUAGCUUAAGAGUGAUUUGUUUUACUCUUAUCACACUUAAAUUAAAUCGCCGACCUCAGCAAACGGAUUGCCGAGAAUCCAACAGCCGAGAAUCCGGUAAUAAUUUUCACUGAAUCUCGGUAAAAGUUUUACCGAGAUGUCGUUAAAACUUUGCCGAGAUCCCGGUAAUCAAACUUUUUACCGAGAUCUCGGCAAAGUUCACCGAGACUCGGUAAUGGUUUACCGAAAUCUCGGUAAAAUUUUUACCGAGAAUCAGUCAAUAUUUUACCGAGGUAUCAGCUGUUGGAUUCUCGGUAAACCGUUUACCGAGAUCAAUUUCUGAAUUUAAAUGUGAUACAGCAAAAAUGUUUGUUGGGUUAUGAAUGCGUUCAGCGAAAGCGAUCACACAACAACUUUACUCAACACAUCAGUCCACCAUUUGUAUUGUCAUAACAACAAACAUUGUAUUAUGGAAAUAUAAAAGUCGGAAUCUCGUUACAGUCUUUGUCCUACGUCAACAUUGCGGUUAUGUCUCAGACAUUACCCACUCCUAGUUUUUCAGGCUAUUUAUAUAGCAAUAUGACGCUGCUCAUAAUACCAAAGGUAGCACGGAACCAUCUUCAAACGCAUAAAUUUAUUGAUAUCAUGUCUGAUAUAGUAUACUACAGUAUUGGUACAAAGUAGUUUUCUAAAUAAACCUGGAAUUUGAAAUGCAAUUUUGUUUUAGAUAAAAAUGUCCAAAGUAGCCCCCAUCUGGUUCUAUAUGAGAUGUGUCCGAUUGGUGUAUGAACAACUUUUUUGUUUAUUGAUGGAUUUAGUUCAAAUUUUGCAUACAUCCUACAUACAUACUCACAAUUAUUAUGUGUAAAAAUUGUGGAAAUCCAUUCACUACUCUGGGAGUUAUAAUGUCAUAAAUUUGAAAAAUCAUGAAAAAGUGUAAAAAGAAGCCCCGCACGACGGUACUGGAGCAUCUAAUUGAAAACAGAAUGAGUUCUCAUUGAUAACAAAUUCAUAUCUCAUUUUGCUAGCCGCAUUUUACGACGCAUUUUACACAGUUCUCAGGAAGUUAUUAAAUCCAUAGAAUAAUAUCUAACUAAAAUUUAAUAGCAAAUUUAGUAUUCAUUUUGAUAUUUUAUUAGGCAUUAAUUUACAUGUAUUCAUUUACAUGAGAUUUUGAUUUAAAUUCGUAAGGAUCUUGCAAAUGAGAGCUACUACAUCCUCGUAGAACGCUAUUGAUUUUUUUAUCGAUUGGACGUUUGAUUACCGAGAUAUCUCUCGAAGAAUACUUAUGAGUCAUACAACUAAACUGUUUAAGUUUUUUGACCAAGUGUACAGUAGACGUUCGAUAACUGCAACAUGUUUACGUUUCACUUAGCGAAUAAAACUGGAUAACUGUAACGACUGACAGACGUCAAAGAACUGUCAGUUGCUGCAGAAUGCAGCCAAUGUGCAUACGAAAAACAUCGCACUGCAACAAAAGUGCAUGCGAAAAAAAUCGCAUCGCUGUUGACGUUUCGUUUUGACGGAUAGCGGUGCGAUAACUGCAAAAUUGUUGCACUUAGCGGACUUGCAGUUAAAAAGCAGUUCAGUUAAAGCGUUUGCACCGAGCGAACGUCUUCUGAAUUAUAAUAAAUAUCUCAGUCGUUUGUCAACCACCGAUUUGGGUUCUCUUGGCGCCAAAUGAACACUACAACAUCCUAGUAGAAUCCUAUUAAAUUUGAUUACGAUUGGACAUUUGAUUACUGAUAUAUCUUUCGAAAAGUACUUAGGAGUUACAUCACUAAACUUAUUGAGAUUUUUGACAAAGUGUAUCAUAUUAAAUAUCUUUGCCAUCUGUCAACCGACUUAGGUUCUCUUAGCACCAAAUAAAAGCUACAAUACUACUUCGUAGGUAACUUAAUCGAUUGAUUAAGCGCUGUUUGCAGAUCAGAAGGAAUUUCUCAGCCUAUCUUGAUGCAUGGGAAAUUCCUUGCCUGAAUUGCUCAAGAAACCGGUUUUUCUUCCAUCGCAGUACGCAGUUGCGAAGAAAUGACAAUUCAAAUGGCAGUCACCGUAGAAAGUUUCUGCCAGGAAUCGCUCAAGAAGUUUCUUGAGCAAUUCCUUUUGAACUCGAAACUGCGC